rnacentral:rRNA from 1 species
UGGGGAAUAUUGGACAAUGGGCGCAAGCCUGAUCCAGCCAUACCGCGUGGGUGAAGAAGGCCUUCGGGUUGUAAAGCCCUUUUGUUGGGAAAGAAAAGCAGCCGGUUAAUACCCGGUUGUUCUGACGGUACCCAAAGAAUAAGCACCGGCUAACUUCGUGCCAGCAGCCGCGGUAAUACGAAGGGUGCAAGCGUUACUCGGAAUUACUGGGCGUAAAGCGUGCGUAGGUGGUUGUUUAAGUCUGUCGUGAAAGCCCUGGGCUCAACCUGGGAAUGGCGAUGGAAACUGGGCGACUAGAGUGUGGCAGAGGGUAGUGGAAUUCCUGGUGUAGCAGUGAAAUGCGUAGAGAUCAGGAGGAACAUCCGUGGCGAAGGCGACUGCCUGGGCCAACACUGACACUGAGGCACGAAAGCCAGGGGAGCAAACG